UUGCUGUCAUCUGAAAGUAAUGAGUGGCCCCAUAAAAAGCUGUUGAGUAGAGGUGGGUUAAACUUGAAGGUAUCCAAUACAGGAUGAGAGAAAGGACCAAUAAGGGAAACUCUUUAAUCAGCAGGGUAUCACAAAGACUGUUCUCUUUAAAGCUGCUGCCCUCACCAGCACUUCCUUUCUGCAAGGUCAGCAUUUCAAGUAGAAACACAGCCAAACAAAAUGACUCUGACACAGUUGAAGAUUGGGGUCAAAGAAGAGGAUCGGUCUGCUCUAGCUGAGGCCCAUGGACAGAGAUCAUGUCAUUUAUACAUCUACCUUGUGCUGAGGACACCAUUUUUUGAUUUGAGCCACUUCCCUUCAGGAAAUGUGAAAGGAAACAAGCUGCCCUGGACCAGUUGUACUCCAAAGAUAAGUUUCCUGUUUUUCUAAUAUUUAGGAAUGCUCUUUAGACACCUCUUCACUGUUCUCACACGUGGCUGUUUGUUUUAAAUAUAUUUUGAGAG
ensembl:lncRNA